rnacentral:lncRNA from 1 species
AGUUCUCAAACGUGAGAUGAAUCUUAAUUACGAGCACAAAUUGCCCAGAUUAUACUAUUAGAUCGGCGUUUCUUACUAAUCUAAUAUAACCGAGUGAUGCACAAAAGGACGGACGAAAUGACUGCGAGUGGAAAUGUGAUUCGCCACCCCGAGAGAAAUAAAGAUGCUAAAAUAACUCCCGUGGUCGAGAGGUUGCGUCAUUGCGUGAAAAUCAGCUGUAGAAAUGGUUUAGGAUAUAGCAUAGCGUGAGUGUCUCUCGCCCGCCUCUACGGGUACACGGGAAACUCGAAGCAAGUCAGCUUACCACGUCCUGAGGUGUCUUGACUUCAUGAGACAAAGCAUGUGACUUUGCAUUAUCAUAAACAGGAAAUAAACGAGUCAUAGAAGCUGGUCCUAACUGGAUUUGUCUGGCAGGAUGGGGACGCAGGAGGACACGUCGGAUGAUGAGAUACAGGAGGCUUUCCUAAGCGAGGCAGGGACGAGCGCAACGGUGACCUCCAUAGGGAUGGGUCACAGCGAGAGCUACGGGGGCGGGGGAACAGGUGGCGGUGGAGGAGGAGGUGG